UACGAAGGAUGCGAGCGUUAUCCGGAUUUAUUGGGUUUAAAGGGUGCGUAGGCGGAUCGUUAAGUCAGUGGUCAAAUUGAGGGGCUCAACCCCUUCCCGCCAUUGAAACUGGCGCUCUUGAGUGGAAGAGAAGUAUGCGGAAUGCGUGGUGUAGCGGUGAAAUGCAUAGAUAUCACGCAGAACCCCGAUUGCGAAGGCAGCAUGCCGGCUUCCGACUGACGCUGAAGCACGAAAGCGUGGGGAUCGAACAGG
rnacentral:rRNA from 1 species